CGCCUCGGUCGCAAGGAAAGUUGAACUCUUCCUGCUUUUUUAAAUUUUUUUUACCUGCAGUAAAAAAGUAGGAUAUGCAUAUACAUCCUUGCGAACUAUUCCAUAUUAUCAAUAGAGGCCAUGGAUGCAGCUGAGGGGAAGAGUUUGCUAAACAACUAAUCUGUUUAGAAGCGCAGUGUAAAAUACAGGCAAGGAAGUGAGGCGGGCACUUGAAACUUAAACGAUUGUUGUGUUUUGAGAGUUCCAGUCACUCCCUAAAUCGCCUGUUAACAAUGGGAUGCUGUGGCAGUUCAGAGCAAAAGCAGCGUGAGUGGAAACCAUUGGAGGAUCGAAGCUGCACGGAUAUUCCAUGGCUCAUCAUAUUCGCAUUGUUCUGUAUCGGAAUGGCCUGUAUCGCUGGUUUCUCCAUUUCCACGGGAGCUGCAUCCAGGCUCAUCUCUGGCUACGACAGCUACGGUAACACCUGCGGUCAGAAGAAUAGCAAGAUCGAGGGGGUCGAGCUCAGUGGCCGGGAUCAGACCGACAACAAGUAUGUCUUCUUCCUAGACCCUUGCAACAUUGACAUUCUGAACAGGAAGAUCAAGUCCAUGGCUCUCUGUGUGUCCAGGUGUCCAGACAUAGAGCUCAAGACGUACACUGACGUCAAAAAGUUUGCACUGCAAAAUGGGUCGGAGCUCUGCUCGUACGACAUCCCGGUCUCCAAGUAUCCAAGCCACGGAGAGAGAUCCAAAAAGUGCCCCAAACUCCCCGUGCCACCAAGUAAUUCUCUCCCGGUGUUCCACCGCUGCACUCCUGUGGACAUCUCCUGCUAUGCCCAGUUCGCUGAGGCCUUCGUCACCUUCGUCAGUGACAACAGCAUGCUGCACAGGGUCAUUGCCGGGGUGAUGGCCAGCAAGGAGAUCAUCAUGGGCCUGUGCGUGCUGGCUCUAGUCCUCUCCAUAAUCCUGAUGGUGGUGAUUCGCUACAUCUCUGUCGUGCUGGUCUGGAUCCUCACCGCCCUCGUGGUUCUGGGCUCUAUAGGUGGGACCGGGGUUCUGUGGUGGCUCUACGUGGACCACAGGACGAAUCUGACCGACCAGACUGGUACCUCCCCAACACCCCAACAGCAGGUGGCCACAGACAACGUCCAAGCUCUGCUGGUCUACGCCAUCUUUGCCACUGUCUUCACGGUGAUCCUGCUGCUGCUGCUGUUCUUCAUGAGGAAGCGCGUGGCACUAACCAUCACCCUGUUCCACGUGGCGGGCAAGGUGUUCACUCACCUGCCUCUGCUGGCCCUGCAGCCCUUCUGGACCUUCCUCAGCCUCAUGCUCUUCUGGGUGUCCUGGCUCGGUGUGCUCCUCUUCCUCGGAACCGCAGGUAGCCCAGUGCAGAGUGAAGAGGCAGGGCUGGUGGAGUAUCGUAUAUCAGGCCCACUCCAGUACAUGGUGUGGUACCAUGCUGUGGGCCUCAUCUGGAUCAGUCAGUUCAUCCUGGCCUGCCAGCAGAUGACCGUGGCCGGAGCUGUGGUCACCUACUACUUCACAAGGAAUAAAUCUGACCUGCCCAUGACCCCCAUCGUGUCAUCUAUGCUGUGUCUGACCCGCUACCACCUGGGCACUGUGGCCAAAGGCUCCUUCAUCAUCACCUUGGUGGAGAUCCCUCGCCUCAUCCUCACCUACAUCCACAACCAGCUGAAAGGAAAAGAGAAUGCCUGUGCUCGCUGUAUGUUGAAAUCCUGCAUCUGCUGCUUGUGGUGCCUGAAGAAGUGUCUAAUGUACCUGAAUCAAAACGCGUACACGGCGACAGCGAUCAACAGCACCAGUUUCUGUACGUCGGCGCGUGACGCCUUCGUCAUCCUGGUAGAGAAUGCCCUCAGAGUGGCCACCAUCAACACCGUGGGGGACUUUGUCCUCUUCCUGGGAAAGGUACUGAUCGUCUCCUGCACUGCGUUCGUCGGCGUAUUGUCGCUCAACUACCAGCGGGACUACACGGUGUGGGUGCUGCCCCUGCUCAUCGUCUGCCUGUUCUCCUGGCUGGUGGCCCACUGCUUCCUGUCCGUCUUUGAGAUCGUGGUGGACGUGCUCUUCCUCUGCUUCGCCGUGGACACCAAGCACAACGACGGCAGCCCCGGCCGAGAGUUCUACAUGGACAAGGCCCUCAUGGUGAGGAGAAGGGAGGCUGGGUGGGUGGGAGAUUAUGGCUGCGUCCUGAUUUUCCACCUGUCGUGGAUUUAUAAGGAAUGGACUGGUGUAAUCACAAAUAAUCCAUUAUAUUGAUCAGAUACUCAAGUGGCCACUCUAACAAUGAAAAUAAAUGUGUUCAAAAAGCAGCCGGGACAUAGCAAGAUCAGGUGGGACCAUACUAGCCAAUGAGAUAGCAGAUACACGCGUGAACAACAGGCACAACUCCGAUAUAAAAUGUUUUUUCUUGACAUUGUCAUGAUGUCACGUGUCCCACUCAGAUCAGUACAAUCGUAACAACCUAAGCGUUACGAAACUUCUAUUUGAUCAAAUAAUCCUCACGUAGUAAAUAAGUUGUUCAUUUUCUUGAAUUCUACCCUCAUUGACCUCGUAAAACUCUUAGCUUGAUGAGCGACAAAAAAAACCUGAAAAACACCAUCUGCUGGACAAAUGUUGGGCCCAGUUAUACAUCUCACGUCGCCUUUUCCUCUCUGCUGUAAUCGUUGGCUAGAGGGAGUUUCCACCGUUGUUAAAUUCAUACUGUGCCUUUUGGUAGAAGGUGGAGAAUCGGUACGUAUAUGUCUCUGUUUCAUUAUCCACACUAACAUUCCAAUGUAUCACACCGUAUAUUCUAACUGGUAUGCUAAUGUGGCUAAUGGAACAUAGCCUUUGUUUUUACCCUGUGCUACUUUGGCUACAUUUCUAUGGUGAAUAGUGAUUAUGCACGUAUUACACCAGACUCGCCUUGUUAUCUCAACACCCAACACAGUCACUCUCUCUCUUCUCCCUCUUUAGGAGUUUGUAGAGAACAGUAAGAAUAUGGCGGGAAGGGAUCGGCCCGAGGCAGAUGGAGACGGUAGUGAGAUGAAGCCUAUGACUCAUGGAGGAGGGACUUUAGCUUGACCAAACCAGAAGACGGAAACCAAGAGGCAUUCCAAACGUUUCCAUGAUAUUACUCCAGUCCCACGACUACAAUAUUUCGGAUAACCUGUUUGUUAAUUUAUGGCACAUUUUAACAUGAAAGCUUUUUUUUUGGUUACACAUCCAUCAUGGAUAUUGUUAAUGUAGUUUUGUGCUAUUGUACAGGCUGUAGAGUUGGUGUUCUGUAGUUUAGCUUCUUGUGUGUGGAAGUGUUGUGUGAGAGAUUCAAAUGCAUCAUGACAUCACAGUUGUUGUUUUUUAACUACUAAUAUUGUACACCACAAGUGUUUUUGUAUAUCAAUGUCUUUUUAGGUUGUGGUAAUGAGGAUCAUGGUCUCUUCUAAUGCUGCGUUGGUACAUCUAAUACAAUUGUGACGAUUAACUUGCAUAACAGAUGAUCAACAGGCACUUUUCUCUGUGGGAAAACUCCACCCCCUCAAUGUAUUUUGACCCUGUUGAAAGAUUUCCUUUAUGGAAUAGAAGACAUUUUCAAAAAGUUAGCAUUUUGGAGAAAUCAGAAGCCAUCUUCCAAUGUUUACCAUAACUGAAAAUCCCUAUGUUGUGGUAAUAUUGAGUCAUUACUCCUGAUUUGAGUUUGUAAUACUGUAUCCAUAGAAAAAGUGAUUCCCUAUAACUGUAUCUCUCUCUAUUCAUGAAUGCGAACAGAGUUUUAACCCAGAAUGUUUUGGAUAAUGUUUUUAUGCAGAGAAAUAAAACGACAACGACAACAAAAA